GGCGAGGUAGCUUAGCCUGGUUAUAGCGCAGGACUCAUAAUCCUGAGGUCGCGGGUUCAGAUAAUUGGCGACGCAGUCGACAAUGACCGAAAGCGCCAGCUUGAGAGUCCCGCCCUCGCCA
rnacentral:tRNA from 1 species